rnacentral:rRNA from 1 species
GAAUUCGCCCUUAGAGUUUGAUCCUGGCUCAGGAUGAACGCUGGCGGCGUGCUUAACACAUGCAAGUCGAGCGAAGCACUUAGGAAAGAUUCUUCGGAUGAUUUCCUAUUUGACUGAGCGGCGGACGGGUGAGUAACGCGUGGGUAACCUGCCUCAUACAGGGGGAUAACAGUUAGAAAUGACUGCUAAUACCGCAUAAGCCCACAGGUCGGCAUCGACCAGAGGGAAAAGGAGCAAUCCGCUUUGAGAUGGCCUCGCGUCCGAUUAGCUAGUUGGUGAGGUAAUGGCCCACCAAGGCGACGAUCGGUAGCCGGACUGAGAGGUUGAACGGCCACAUUGGGACUGAGACACGGCCCAGACUCCUACGGGAGGCAGCAGUGGGGAAUAUUGCACAAUGGGGGAAACCCUGAUGCAGCGACGCCGCGUGGAGGAAGAAGGUCUUCGGAUUGUAAACUCCUGUUGUUGAGGAAGAUAAUGACGGUACUCAACAAGGAAGUGACGGCUAACUACGUGCCAGCAGCCGCGGUAAAACGUAGGUCACAAGCGUUGUCCGGAAUUACUGGGUGUAAAGGGAGCGCAGGCGGGAAGACAAGUUGGAAGUGAAAUCUAUGGGCUCAACCCAUAAACUGCUUUCAAAACUGUUUUUCUUGAGUAGUGCAGAGGUAGGCGGAAUUCCCGGUGUAGCGGUGGAAUGCGUAGAUAUCGGGAGGAACACCAGUGGCGAAGGCGGCCUACUGGGCACCAACUGACGCUGAGGCUCGAAAGUGUGGGUAGCAAACAGGAUUAGAUACCCUGGUAGUCCACACCGUAAACG